rnacentral:rRNA from 1 species
AGGGUUCGAUCAUGGCUCAGAACGUACGCUGGCGGCACGCCUAACACAUGCAAGUCGAACGCAGUAGCAAUACUGAGUGGCGAACGGGUGAGUAUAAUGUGGGUAUCUGCCUUUUGGUUUGGAAUAACACGAGGAAACUUGUGCUAAUACCGAAUAAGCCCUUACGGGGAAAGUUUUAACGCCGAAAGAUGAGCCCGCACUUGAUUAGCUAGUUGGUAGGGUAAUGGCCUACCAAGGCAACGAUCAAUAGCUGAUCUGAGAGGAUGAUCAGCCACAUUGGGACUGAGACACGGCCCAAACUCCUACGGGAGGCAGCAGUGGGGAAUCUUGCACAAUGGGGGAAACCCUGAUGCAGCGAUGCCGCGUGAGUGAAGAAGGCCCUUGGGUUGUAAAGCUCUUUCGUCGGGGAAGAAAAUGACUGUACCCGAAUAAGAAGGUCCGGCUAACUUCGUGCCAGCCGCCGCGGUAAUAC